GCCAACGUAGCUCAGUGGUAGAGCAGCUGUUUUGUAAACAGCAGGUCCUCGGUUCGAUCCCGAGCGUUGGCUCCA
rnacentral:tRNA from 1 species